rnacentral:tRNA from 1 species
CGGGGCGUAGCACAGCUUGGUAGUGCGCACGGUUUGGGACCGUGAGGCCGCAAGUUCGAAUCUUGCCGCCCCGACCA